rnacentral:rRNA from 1 species
UACAGAGGUCCCAAGCGUUGUUCGGAUUCAUUGGGCGUAAAGGGUGCGUAGGUGGCGCCGUAAGUCAGGUGUGAAAUCUCGGGGCUUAACUCCGAAACUGCAUUUGAUACUGCGGUGCUUGAGGGCUGGAGAGGAGACUGGAAUUUACGGUGUAGCAGUGAAAUGCGUAGAGAUCGUAAGGAAGACCAGUGGCGAAGGCGGGUCUCUGGACAGUUCCUGACACUGAGGCACGAAGGCCAGGGGAGCAAACGGG